rnacentral:lncRNA from 1 species
UAUUGUCAUGCAGUAAUUUUAAUGAGGGAUCAGUGCUAUGAGCCCGCAUAUUCCUGCGAAAUCAAAAGAACAUGGCGUUGCAUAGUUUAGCAUGUCAUUAACUGGCAGAUAGAUUAACAGAAAACCUACAGUAAUGAGUUUUUUGAUGCUUCUUUUUUUCUUAUGUAGUUUUUCUUUUUUAGUGGGAAAGAAGGGGCACUGCUGGUAUUUCCUUGUUGAUGCCAAACUUAUUUUUAUUGAUCAUACAGUGAUUGCAGUGUAGUUGCUUUAGUAUUGGAGACAUAGAUGCCUAUAGCCUACAAUGCCUGCAAUAUUGACCUUAUAAAUUAUCAAUAUAAUCUACAUGGUGAAGUUUGACUUCCAGGGAUUUUCUGAUGCUUGCCUAUUCUAUUUUCUCUCUUGGUUUGCCUUGAGGCAUGAGCUUCAUAAAAUUUUU